GCAACACAGUUGUUUUGUGGUUAGGAAAAAAAAAGAUAAAAAAAUACCUGUAAAAAUGAAUGCUGGGGAAAAAUAUGAUUUCUUAAUAAAAUGUUAUUUUGCUAAACGUUACAAAUCUCCAUAUUGGAACAAACGCCUUCAUUUUAUGAGGUAAUUCUAAAUGCAAUUACCUCAUACACUAUUGGCUCUUUUCAGGCCAGCUGUUUUGGACAUGUAAUGGACUAUUAGUCAUGUAAAAGGAUCUACAGUUCAAACAGUUCACGUUUUGGGCGGGGAUUAUGAGAAACUUUUAAAGAGAACAUCCAAAACACUUCAGCGGAUCCUGAUUGGGCAAGCAACCUGUCACUCGAAAGCCAGGGGCGUGGUUUAGGAGCGAUCGUUCUCAAUGUAAUAGAGUUUUAGCGCAGUCUUGCUUUUUCAUAGGCGUGUGUCAACUGUGUGUGCCUAGGGUGCUCCGCUCUUACCAAUGCGAUUAAUGAACACAACGAACCGAUUGAGGAAACACUAAACAAACAAGCUGCUUUUCCUUUUCGUCUGUAUUUUAAUACGGACGAGCUUCGCGUCUGCAAGGAAUCAUCCCUCUGCACGAGCACAAAGGAAAAUUAAAAAGGGAAGAAAAGGUCUGUUGUGGAAUGUCACAACUUCCUCAAGUGAUCCAGUACUUUACCCUCAGCUUAAUCACCUGACUGCGGUCCUGUUGUCUGAUUGGAUCAUCUUUUGAGACAACCGCGUUUGCACCAGUUGCUUUUCUUAGCGACUGCUUUUAGACCGGACUCAUUGAUCGUCCUGAAUCCACGUCAGU
rnacentral:lncRNA from 1 species